rnacentral:rRNA from 1 species
UACGUAGGGUGCGAGCGUUAAUCGGAAUUACUGGGCGUAAAGCGUGCGCAGGCGGUUCGUUGUGUCGGUGGUGAAAUCCCCGGGCUUAACCUGGGAAUGGCCAUGGAAACUGGCGAACUGGAGUGCGGCAGAGGGGGGUGGAAUUCCGCGUGUAGCAGUGAAAUGCGUAGAGAUGCGGAGGAACACCGAUGGCGAAGGCAGCCCCCUGGGUCGACACUGACGCUCAGGCACGAAAGCGUGGGGAGCAAACAGG